rnacentral:rRNA from 1 species
AGAGUUUGAUCAUGGCUCAGGAUGAACGCUGGCGGCGUGCUUAACACAUGCAAGUCGAACGGUGAAAGAGAGCUUGCUCUCUGGAUCAGUGGCGAACGGGUGAGUAACACGUGAGCAAUCUGCCCCCUGACUCUGGGAUAACAGCUGGAAACAGCUGCUAAUACCGGAUACGAGCUGCGAAGGCAUCUUCAGCAGCUGGAAAGAAUUUCGGUCAGGGAUGAGCUCGCGGCCUAUCAGCUUGUUGGUGAGGUAAUGGCUCACCAAGGCGUCGACGGGUAGCCGGCCUGAGAGGGUGACCGGCCACACUGGGACUGAGACACGGCCCAGACUCCUACGGGAGGCAGCAGUGGGGAAUAUUGCACAAUGGGCGAAAGCCUGAUGCAGCAACGCCGCGUGAGGGACGACGGCCUUCGGGUUGUAAACCUCUUUUAGCAAGGAAGAAGCGAAAGUGACGGUACUUGCAGAAAAAGCGCCGGCUAACUACGUGCCAGCAGCCGCGGUAAUACGUAGGGCGCAAGCGUUAUCCGGAAUUAUUGGGCGUAAAGAGCUCGUAGGCGGUUUGUCGCGUCUGCUGUGAAAACCCGAGGCUCAACCUCGGGCCUGCAGUGGGUACGGGCAGACUAGAGUGCGGUAGGGGAGAUUGGAACUCCUGGUGUAGCGGUGGAAUGCGCAGAUAUCAGGAAGAACACCGAUGGCGAAGGCAGAUCUCUGGGCCGUAACUGACGCUGAGGAGCGAAAGGGUGGGGAGCAAACAGGCUUAGAUACCCUGGUAGUCCACCCCGUAAACGUUGGGAACUAGUUGUGGGGUCCAUUCCACGGAUUCCGUGACGCAGCUAACGCAUUAAGUUCCCCGCCUGGGGAGUACGGCCGCAAGGCUAAAACUCAAAGGAAUUGACGG